rnacentral:sRNA from 1 species
ACUUUGGGAGGCAGAGGUGGGUGGAUCACGAGGUCAGGAGUUCAAGACCAGCCUGGCCGAGAUGAUGAAACCCCAUGUCUACUAAAAAUACGAAAAUUAGCCGGGAGUAGUGGUGGUGCUCCUGUAAUCCCAGCUACUCGGGAGGCUGAGGCAGGAGAGUCACUUGAUCCCGGGGGGCAGAGGUCGUAGUGAGCCGAGAUCGUACCAUUGCACUCCAGCCUGGGCGGCAGAGUGAGACUCCGUCUCAAAAAAAAAAAGAAAAGCAGAUUGCCUAAGAGGAUGGACAGAUGGACACUGGGUGAGCAGAGUGGCCUGGCCGCUGGCACACCUCCCUGGGCAGGACCAGGCAGCCUCCAGAGGGGCUUCAGGAGUGACCGGGCCUGGCCUCCCCACCACAGGCUAGGGUGGACAUUUGGGGCCUUCUGGGGCCAAAGUGCAGACUGCUGGGGAUGCAGGUGGCUUGGAUGUUCUCUGACUUUGUUGCUGGGAGCUCCGCUAAAGAGUGUCUGCGCUGUGGCUUCUUUGCAGGAGAAGUUUUCAGGUUGCUGGAGGAAGAGGGCGUCUCCCUCCCCGACCUGGAACCAGCCCCUCUGGACAGCCUGUACGUAUGUCUGCCACCAAGAACUGUUAUUUUAGCUUCUAACGCUGCCUCUGAGGAUAGCAUCCCCCUGCUCUGGGCUUGCCUCCCCGCAGCCCAUCUUGGCGUCCACAGAAGUGGCUGAAUAGCCAGGCGCAGUAGCUCACGCCUGUCACCCCAGCACUUUGGGAGGCCAAGGUGGGCAGAUCACCUGAGGUCAGGAGUUCAAGACCAGCUCGGCCAACAUGGUGAAACCUCAUCUCUACUAAAAAUGCAAAAUUUAGCCAGGCAUGGUGGUAAUCCAUGCCAGGCCCUGUAAUCCCAGCUACUUGGGAGGUUGAGGCAUGAGAAUUGCUUGAACCCAGGAGGCGGAGCUUGCAGUGAGCCGAGAUCACGCCACUGCACUCCAGCCUGGGCGACAGAGCAAGACUCCGUCUCAAAAAAAAAAAAAAGAAGUGGCUGGGCUCCUGUGAUGGCUGGUGACACAGGAGCUGUUCCUCUGUGUCUGUGACUUGUCUCCCACUUGGAAAUGCAAACGCUCAUGUGUGAGGGACAGAGGCCCUGCUCGGGAGGUUGGCAGGCAGCAGCCCCAGCUGUGCUGAGGCCCCUCCCUCCUUGCCAGGUGCAGCGGUGCCUCUGCAGAGGAGCCCAGCAGCCAUCGGGGAGGGGGCUCGGGGGGCUACCUGGAGCACGUGUUCCGGCACGCGGCCCGAGAGCUCUUUGGAAUCCAUGUGGCUGAGGUUACCUACAAACCCCUGAGGUCAGUGGGAUGGGCCAGAUUUCUGGGCAGAGCGGCCACACAGCCCCCAGCCUUCCUCGGGCUGCUGCCUCCCCUGGGGUCCUCCCACAGAGGUGGGCUGGGUGGAGGGCGGGCUCAUGGUGUGAAGGCACCUAAGCACUCCAGGCCUCAGUCGGCCCAUUGUGGGGGAUGGUGACCCUGAGCCCGAGAGGCCAGCAUGGGCAAAGGUGAUGGGUGCCUGGCGCAGGCACGCGACCACAUCCCAGGAGGGAGGGCCAGGGCCUCACAGACAUCCCUGGGGAGGGAGGCCUGUUUCACAGACAGCCCGAGGCUGGAGGUGAGGUCCCCUGCUGGACUCGAGGAAGUGAGCCUUCCACCCUCUCUCUCCGUUCUUGUCCUUCCCUCUGCCCAGGAGAGUGGGAGAGAGCCCUGGGAGCUGCCCGGUCAUCCCCUGGAGCCCAGCAGGCCUCCCCUUCCAGGCAGGCAGGAGCCUGGUGGGUGUGCCAUGUAGACAAACCCCGCCUGUGCCCCCCAGGAACAAAGACUUCCAGGAGGUGACACUGGAGAAGGAGGGCCAGGUGCUGCUGCACUUCGCAAUGGCGUACGGCUUCCGCAACAUCCAGAACCUGGUGCAGAGGCUCAAACGAGGGCGCUGCCCCUACCACUAUGUGGAGGUCAUGGCCUGCCCCUCAGGCUGCCUGAACGGCGGGGGCCAGCUCCAGGCCCCAGACAGGCCCAGCAGAGAGCUCCUCCAGCACGUGGAGAGACUGUACGGCAUGGUCCGGGCUGAGGCGCCCGAGGACGCGCCUGGGGUUCGGGAGCUGUACACACACUGGCUGCAGGGCACGGACUCGGAGUGUGCAGGUCGCUUGCUGCAUACGCAGUACCACGCCGUGGAGAAGGCCAGCACUGGCCUGGGCAUCCGGUGGUAGGGGCUGCAGGACCAGGACUCCCAGGAGGCCGUGUCCAUGUGUGACAGCAGAACCACAUGCCCCAAGACCCCAGGGCUCCCCCCAAAAUUCUGAGUGAGCUGCAGGGUGUGCUGGGACCCGAGUAGGAGCUAGGACUGGCCAGGACCCGCAGCCGCCUCGUCACCUCCAGUUGGGUGCCUCUGGGUUCCCACUGGCUCUGCCCAGGUGGGGUGGGGUGGCCCAGGCAGCAGAAGGUUCCCUGAGGUCCCAGAGCCUGUUCCGUUGGCCCUGGGCCGAGGCCCACAGGUGCUGCCCUUGCUGUUGCUGGUCGGGCACCCAAGUGCGUGAGGGGCUUCAGCCUGUCCCGGGGUUGCCUGAGGCAGAGCAAGACGGGUUCUCACCCCUGACUUCUGGAGGCUUCCCUUGAAGCUCUGUGCAAAAGGUGGGAGACAGACCUGGACCUGCAGGGGUGGUCCCGCCACAACCCUGCGUGUGGACCCUGGCAGGAGGAGGUGCCAGGCCCCUGGAAAGCAGGGGUUACCGUUACGAGGCUGUGGUCCGGGGCAAGCCAAGUACAAAGCAGCAGCCAUCGCUGGCUGCAUCAUCCCCCAGCCAGGUCCCCACCAGGCCUGUCUCCCAGCGUUUGUCUAAUAAAUGCACCCCUCCU